rnacentral:rRNA from 1 species
GACGAACGCUGGCGGCGUGCCUAAUACAUGCAAGUAGAACGCUGAAGGAGGAGCUUGCUCUUCCGGAUGAGUUGCGAACGGGUGAGUAACGCGUAGGUAACCUGCCUGGUAGCGGGGGAUAACUAUUGGAAACGAUAGCUAAUACCGCAUAACAGUAGAUGUUGCAUGACAUUUGCUUAAAAGGUGCAAUUGCAUCACUACCAGAUGGACCUGCGUUGUAUUAGCUAGUUGGUGGGGUAACGGCUCACCAAGGCGACGAUACAUAGCCGACCUGAGAGGGUGAUCGGCCACACUGGGACUGAGACACGGCCCAGACUCCUACGGGAGGCAGCAGUAGGGAAUCUUCGGCAAUGGACGGAAGUCUGACCGAGCAACGCCGCGUGAGUGAAGAAGGGUUUCGGAUCGUAAAGCUCUGUUGUAAGAGAAGAACGAGUGUGAGAGUGGAAAGUUCACACUGUGACGGUAUCUUACCAGAAAGGGACGGCUAACUACGUG